UACGUAGGGGGCAAGCGUUGUCCGGAAUCAUUGGGCGUAAAGCGCGCGUAGGCGGCCCGGUAAGUCCGCUGUGAAAGUCAAAGGCUUAACCUUUGAAUGUCAGCGGAUACUGUCGGGCUAGAGUCCGGAAGAGGCGAGUGGAAUUCCUGGUGUAGCGGUGGAAUGCGCAGAUAUCAGGAGGAACACCAACGGCGAAGGCAGCUCGCUGGGACGGUACUGACGCUGAGGCGCGAAAGCGUGGGGAGCGAACAGG
rnacentral:rRNA from 1 species